CCAGUCCUACAACUCCAGACGCUGAAUCCUGCCAGCAGCCUGAAUGAACCUGGAGAUAGAGGCUUCCUCAGAGUCUUCAGGGAAUAAUAAUAGUGCCACAAGCACUUAGAAGGGAUUGCAGUAAGCCUUCACCAUUCUCUCUGCUUCUCCGGUCUCCUCUGCUCUCCAUCUAAUUUUAUCAAGUUAGAAGCAUGAAGUCAGCCAGAAGUGACUUGGAAGGUCUGCCUCACCCCAGACACCUGGGAGGAAAGAUCCAUAGACCACUGGUAGCAACCAAGGUCCUCCAAGCCCUGUGGGGUGUAUUUCUCCAAGCAGUGCCAGGCCA